AACCUAGCACACCUGCGGUGUGUACCUGCGGAGGGAUCAUUACACAUUGUUCGGAGCGCUUCGGCGCUCCUUAUACACCCACCCUCUGCCUACGUGUACCUCCAUAGCUUCCUCGGCGGGCUCGCCCGCCGCCAGGAACCCACGAAACCCCUUGCAUGAUACGCGAAAACUUCUGAUAACCAACCUAAAUUAUCACAACUUUUAACAAUGGAUCU
rnacentral:misc_RNA from 1 species